GCACCAGACUCCUACGGGAGGCAGCAGUGGGGGAUAUUGCACAAUGGGGGGAACCCUGAUGCAGCGACGCCGCGUGGGUGAAGGAGCGUUUCGGCGCGUAAAGCCCUGUCAGCAGGGAAGAAAAUGACGGUACCUGAAGAAGAAGCCCCGGCUAACUACGUGCCAGCAGCCGCGGUAAUACGUAGGGGGCAAGCGUUAUCCGGAUUUACUGGGUGUAAAGGGGGCGCAGACGGCGAUGCAAGCCAGGAGUGAAAGCCCGGGGCCCAACCCCGGGACUGCUCUUGGAACUGCGUGGCUGGAGUGCAGGAGGGGCAGGCGGAAUUCCUGGUGUAGCGGUGAAAUGCGUAGAUAUUAGGAGGAACACCAGUGGCGAAGGCGGCUUACUGGACUGUAACUGACGUUGAGGCUCGAAAGCGUGGGGAGCAAACAGGAUUAGAUACCCGCGUA
rnacentral:rRNA from 1 species